ACUACAGGGGUAUCUAAUCCUGUUUGCUCCCCACGCUUUCGUGCAUGUGCGUCAGUGUUAUCCCAGGAGGCUGCCUUCGCCAUCGGUGUUCCUCCGCAUAUCUACGCCAUUUCCUGCUACACAUGGAAUUCCACCUCCCUCUGACACACUCCUAGCUCGGUAGUUAAAAAUGCAGUUCCAAAGUUAAGCUCUGGGAUUUCACAUCUUUCUUUCCGAACCGCCUGCGCACGCUUACGCCCCAGUAAUUCCGAUUAACGCUUACACCCUACGUAUUACCGCGGCUGCUGGCACGUAGUAGCCGGUGCUUAUUCUGCAGGUACCGUCAGUUGCACAGGUAUUAUCAUGCCGUUUCUGCUUUCCUGCCAAAGUGCUUCUAACCCGAGGCCUUCAUCCUUUUGCGCGGAUGGCUGGAUCAGGGUUUCCCAAUGUCCAAAAUUCCCCACUGCUGCCUCCCGUA
rnacentral:misc_RNA from 1 species